AUCAUGCCCUGGGCAACCUGAUGUAGCUGUGCAUGUCCCUGUUCAUUGCAGGGGAGCUGGAUUAGAUGACCUUUAAAAAGUCCCUCCCAACUCUAAGGAUUCUAUGAUUGUAAGUGAAGGUAUUGACUAGCUUUAUUCCCUGUGCUCAGGCAGGCAGCAAUAACAUCACAUGAGCCUUAGCAUGAAGCAAUUUUACUGUGACCUAAGUUAAUAUGUGUUGCAUCUGAUAGGGGUGAGCAUGUACAAGCAACCUAUUUCAGCUGAACUGUGGAAGCCUGAUUGCAGCAGAGGCAAUGAAAGGUAUGGAGUGAGGGUGGCACGGUCUGUCUGAAGGUCUGUGUCCAGAGCACAGCCACCCCCCAGUUCUAGAGGGUUUUGUCCUUGAUGCUCAGUCCACAGUGAAUCCCACACAAUGGGAUGAAGACACCAGCUGGUUGCAAGUUCAUCCUUGUGAGGUGGUGGCUAUCAUCACCAUGGGCUUCUGCAUCACUGGCUGCUACUCUGCACUGUUUGACACCAAUACCUGCUUCACAUCUAAUUCUCUCUUUAUGCAAAGCCUUUCUGUUCUUUUUCUGUGUUUCUUCAGUGAGAGGGAAAGCAAUGUGAUUUGGUUGUUUACCUCAGCUCAGGUAGCAUAAAUCAUUGGCUGAUACACAUGGUGACAAAUGAGCAUCUUUCCCCUGUCAAAGGCAAAGUCUGCAGGGAAUGGCAGAUAGAGCUGAGCCUGUUUUGUUUCAGGGAUCCUGCGAAAAUCCUCUUUGCUUUCCUAUGGUGCACUGCAGAAACACUGCUAAGGAUUGCAUGAAUGCUGAUGAAGUAAAAGCCGCUUUAAAAUGGUAAAUAAUUCACAUGUUAGUAUAUGAAAAGAAAGCUCCAAAGUAUCUCUCAUUUACAUGAAAGAUAAACACCCUUAAUAUUACAAAGUAAACGGUAUAAGGUUCAGUUAUUGUGGAUUCCAUGUGUGAACCCAGCCUUACCACUAAUUUUGAAUUAUUUCAAGGGAAAACAUACAUAAUUUUAAGAGAACACAUAUAUAAUCUGUACUUAUACCUUUGUAUCAUACAGUUAUUUUGUGCAGACAUUCUGGCUUACGCAACAGCAUUUAAUAGAUAUCAGCUUUUGACAUUAGCUGGAUCCUCAUAUACUUUGGAAGAAUUUCAAGCAAUACUUCAUCUAGUUUUACAGUUGCUGGGAUGCACAAAAGCGCUGUGGAAUCACUCUUCUAAUGCUGAAAUUCAUCUCAUCCCCCCGGAGUAAAAUAAAUGUCACAGGUAGCAGCCAGAUUCUCCUCCUCUGAAAUACCUCCACUGCACUUCAGUGUCAGGAAUCAGUGCUCAUUAUGCUUAUGAAUUUUGACUUUCAUUCAGAGUCACGGUGAUAUUUCUAGCCCCCCCACUCCCCAUUCAAAAGCAAGGGCUCAGUCCACUGCAGAGCUUGUUCCAAGCUAGAAAACGUAUCUUUUUUCUGUGAGAACCUAUUGUGGCUUCCUCUACCACUUAACUUCCAGUACCUGAUUCCAACCUCUUUAUACCUGUAUAAAUUUUCUAGUGCUUUAACUCUAACAAUUGACACCAUUCAGAUACAUCAAGGAGUAAAUUCACCAGCCCUAGAUUGAGGAGUUGGUGUGAAAUUACCUCCCUCUAAAGAUAAAAGUUAGGAGUACCUCUCCCUUAUGUUGUCCAGUGGGUCAGGUCUAUACAGAACCAAAGUGAGAAGUAAAGGUGGAGAGGACCAAAAGUAGCGAAAUUUGGCCAGAUCUCCACAGGCACCUUUAAAACUGCAAAAGCACAUCAGACUAGAAGGGAAUCCUUCUAUCAUCAUGUCUAGUUCCUCAGCCACAUGGGAUGAUCCUUCAUACCUUCCAACUUUAUGACUCCUAGGACUGUUUUUUUCUCAUUCUAGAGACGACGUCUACAUUUCUCAUAUCGUGAUCCUGUUGUUAUUGCACAGAAAGAACUCACUGUAUGGAAGGGUUCUUGUAAAGAGGUAAUAGGACUUCUGUUCAUGCUAUUUUAGAGGUCUUAUCCUAUAAGCUAGUGUAGAUUCUGUAAGGAGUAUUUCUUCUGAAUUCCAGUAAGGAGUACUGCUGCAAAGACCACAAACAAUAAUGCCAUAUAUCCAUCUUUUAGAUGUCUAGAAAUUCAUGUGGAGAAUGAUCUCUAAGCACAACUAUGCGUACAGUGCACCCUUAUGCAGCAUUAUACACUAGGUGUUGCUGGUAUCAACAGUAGUAAUGCCUUGCUAUUUCACCAACACUUUUCAAUUUGCAAAACAGUGUUGCAAAUUACCCUUGAUUUGUUUGCAUCAUUUACAACAAGCAAUCUUCCCCAAGACCAAGUCAAAAUGCCCUUCUUAUUUAUGACUGUAGUUUAUUUUUAAUUCAGCAUUUUGGAAACAAUUGAUUUGCAUUUAUUAGUGUCCUAGCACAGAGUGAUGUCCCACUAUCAUACUAUUUAUAUCAGAAGAGAAAUCAGCAAGGGCUAAAUUGGUAAACCCAAAGUUGAAUAGCUGUACAGUUUGACUAGCCACUAUGAACAGCUGUUUAUAAAUUAAGGUAGCCUGAAACUGCAGUUUCACAUUUCCUGCUAUCACAGAUGUCUCAUUCCCAUGCCUCCGUCAACAGAUAUGCCAGUGUCAAAGUGGCUACUAAGCUUUAUAAACAGGCUCCUACCAACUAAAUUGACCAUCAAGUAGAUGCCAAAAUAUACUAAAUCCCACAACCAGUUCAAGCAACAAAACACAUUUGUAAGAGUGAUGAACCUGCUAAGUACAAGCCAAUAUUUCUGCAUUAGCCAAACACAGCAUUAAGGAAAGGUCUUAAUACCCAGAGGAAUGACAGAAGUUUUCCUUGAGUCUUAUAUCUUCAAAUUAGCAAAUUGGAAACCAGCAAAAACCAAACCAGUCUGAGAAUCACUGAUAUAGGAGUCCAGAACUCAAGUGAAGUUUUACUGACCCAACUGAAAUCCAAAGUAGAUCAUCUCUGGCAGUUUUAGCAAGGGGAAAAGUAAGUACAGAUGAUGUAACUGGAAAGCCUACUUCUUGCCUGCAUUUAAUCUUGUUGUGAGCAUUAUACUUGCUAUUGCUUGGCUGGAAGCUAAAAUCUCUACAAAAUAUCUAUUUUGUUUAUCUCUAGCUUCACUUUGGUAGAUCCCCUGUUUCUCUAUGUAUUCAACUGCUGUGGGUUUCAUUAACCACUUGUAGGGAUCGCUCCAGGGAACAGAUUCUCUACAAUAUUUGUAUAAAAUGGGGCUCAAUAUAAGAUUUAUGUUCUACCAGAUGAACAAAAUUAAAUGAUCAUCACUGUGUGGUUGCUUAUUUUUCCAGAAGAAUAAUACUACAGGAAACAUUACUGAAGUACUAAGUCCAUACUUGUAUCUCCUUCUCUGUAUUGGUGUGCUUCAAGAGUCACUGCAAUUUUGCUCAGUGCUCAUGAUUGCACUGCCUUCAGCUGAAGCAGCCUCCAGGUGCAGUACCACUUCCAGAGGGCAGGACUGCUUUGUCUGCUUGGAGCUGCGGAGGUUCUUCACCACAUCCAAGACCAGCUGAUGAGACAGAUCCUCAGAAUUCCUUUUCUCCUUUGCCAGGACCAUGCCUUCAAAGAUAAACUGGGAGAGCAGAACAAUUUCCAGAGGAUGAGGUUUUGAGUGCCUGCAGAAGGAUCAGGCUUCUAAUACUGCAACUGAAAACCCAAAAUGCUGCUGUAUUUUCAAGCUCCAGUAUGGAAUAUGACAGGUCAGAUAAUGAGAUACUGCAUUGUAUCAAGAAGACAAGAGCAAACAACUGAGUCCUCUCCAUUCCUGUUGAUGUUCAAAUCCAAGAAAAGAGGAGGGAGCAGAAAAGUUUUUGCUUUCCAAUGAUUUUUGUUUCAUUUUCAUUUGGUAUGGGGUACCGUUUUUUAGUGGGGUAAGAGGUUGAGGUGUUUUCUUUUGUUUGUCCAUUCCUUUCAAGAAAAAACAGCAAUGCUAUACUCCAGAAGAUGGUUCAAAGCAGUACAUCCUAAAUAACCAAACAAUGUUCUCGUUGUAUGCAAGCUGCAGAGAAGUGUAAGGUCUUCGACUCCCGUCAUAAGCAUGUUGAAGAUUUGUAGUGGGUUGGCUUUGUUAAUUUUGGUAACAACUUCCAAGAACCCUAAGAAACCAACAAAGGAGAAAUGGAUGCUAUUUCAGGGUCAAGUUCAGCAUCUCAAGACAGCACUGAUGAUACCUUUAUCCUUGAGAGGAUUUAAUCAGUCUGUUGCCACUGAAACCCUGGAACAGCACUACAUCUGCAGAUAGCAUAUGUUUAAUCUCCUAUGAUUAAGUGAUCACUAGAAAAAGUAAAAAUGCCCAUUAAAUGAAAAAGAGGUGAAGGAUCCUUCUGCCAGAAUGACAGGUCUCAUCUCUCUUGAAUUUUUCAAAGGCAGGAGCUGCUUUCUGUGAGAAUUCUCCUCUCUUCUGAAUGUCCCAAACAGGUGUACACGUGACAAAAAUGAGAUUCCUAACUGUUAGAGCUUUUAAUAAAGAGGUAUUCCAUUUCAUUCCAUCAAACCAAGAGGUAGGGGGUUAUUAGAAGGGUUAUUUUGAAGUCAUCAUCCCCGUCUAGUUGUGUACAUGAUAGCAGUGACUGAUGGCAUUCUUCUCAUAAAGAGGAUUGCUUCUAGGAACAGCUACUUAACCUCUCACUGGAAGGUUACAAGUGUAUUGUCUCUAGCGGCUGCAAAGGGUAAUCUGCCAUAAUCCCUCCCUCCACCACAGCCAGCGCUGCUCUUUUGUGGUACACAGCUGGCAAUGCUCACAUGACUGCACUCAGACCUGUGCUCUCUGUGCACGUCAAACAGAAAAUGCUGAUCUCAAUCAAGUAAUUAUAUUUCUGUUAAAAUUAAGCAAACCUGUCCCAGUCAUGUCAACAAAGCUAUUAGCCUGAGCAAAGACUGCUCACAUCCUCCUCCACCCACUUAACAAAUAGCUCCUAGUAGUUGCAACGGGAGAAUGCAGAAGUGGCACGAUCCCAAAUACAGAUGUAUGAAAUAAAAGCGUGUUGUUACUUCACUACUUCUACAUUGACCUGCUAGAAUAACUCAGCUUUAAAAUCACAGGAGAGCUUCCAACAGUUUUGGACUGAGUGUUCUACAAACAAUAGGAGUCGCUGGUUAUUAAGUAGCAUCUUUUAUUUACAUACUUCACACUCACCCCUAUCAGCACUCUAAGAUUACUUGGCAUUUUCCUGUUUCUUUAUUUUUCAAUAAGCAGAGGCUUCCUCACUCAAUUGUUAUAUAGCCAGAAAUAGAAAUUCUUCAUUCAUUGAACCUGGGAUGCACAAAUAUUAAAGCAAAUAUGCUGACAGGCAGCUACCUCAGCAUUUUUACAUCUUUCUCCACCCAGUUUUAGGGAUUUGGGACAGCAAAACUUGAGAGAAAAUAAAAUUCCAUGAUGUUUUCUUUUCUAGAAGAGAAAGGUGUUUAAUAAAGAUUAAAUUGAAGAGUAGCAAUGGUGGUUUCCAAGGAAACAACAUGGAUCUCUAUGCAUAUCAAUGAAUCCCUUUUUCUGAUUACUGUUGUUUGUUUGUUUUCUUUAUUUUCUUCCCCCAACUGUGGUUGCCGAGGGUUUUUUAUUGCUGUUUUCUUCCAUGAAGACAUAAGAAAUUCUCUGUAGCACCGCAGUAUCACCAGAUAAUAGAGAAACUAUGUCUACAGAGCAAGAGCAACACAGCUGAAAGCAGCUACAUACUCUAGACAUGUGGACUGCUGAUGGAUACUGCAUUUAAGGAAAAUCAUUAUAGAGAAAUCCCCUAUUAUGCAGCAGAAAUAAGUGACAAUGCACAUAGCUUUUAAAGAUUGCAUCAUGGGUGGUUCCACAGGCUGCAGAUAACUUACGACGAACCUAGAGGGAUGGCAGAGAAUUACUUGCAAGGACUGUGUACAGGGACUGGACUUUGUUGAGAAGCAUUAUGGAAAUUGUGGAAGUGAACUGCUGAGAAGAAAAAUGGAUUAAGCUGAGGAUUUUUUUUUUUUUUUUUGAAAGAGUGAUUUUGUGGAAGAUCAAUUUCUCCUUAGAAGCAAGUGAAAUUUUGGGUAACCUGCAGCUCACUGCUCAAUGGGGGCAGACAGAAAAGAUAAUUAGGAAGGUAUUCAAUUAAUAAAAGAAUAAAUAAGAACUAAUGUAGCAUAAAAUCAAGAUGUCAAGAACAAAAUUAAUCUAGGCACCCAGGGACCAGAGGAGAGAAAUGUGCUAAUUUCCUACAUACCAAUGCUAGUGACCUGUGCAAUAACAGGAAUUGCAAUGUCCUUAUGAACAUAAAUUCUUCUGGGAAAGAAUAAAGCCUGGUGAGAAGAUCUGCCUGACUAGAAUAUUAAAGUCUCAACUUAUUACCUGCUUAGUACUAAAUGGGAGGUAAAAUGGUAUUCUAUAUCAAAAAUAAUAUUGUUUGAACUACUGCCAGUUCAGAGGCAAACAUUUCACAAAUCCUUACAAAACAGUAUCCUAACAAAUAGGACAUAGUGACAUACACCACAAACAUGGGAACAAGACGAUGGGCUCUAUAAAUAUUUACCUAUAAAAUGCAAGAUAAAAUAUCUGUUAUCAUGGGCAACUUCAGCCUGUGUGAUCUACGCUGACAGUUUAAUUCUCUUAAAUAGCUUCCAAAAGUCUAAAUAAUGUAGAACAUAAUUCUUAAUACAAAAAUGUUAUCUCUGUCACAAUGUAAUUCUAUAUUUGAUGCCAUCUUGACAAUUUGAGGGGAAUUGAUUGCAUAGCUCAGAAGUCUUGGCAAUUGUGAACACUGCGUUGUGGAGUUUGGCUCAAGGUACUUUGGAACUUUCUAUUCUCCAUGUUGAACAAGCUCAGUUCUCCCAGUCUGUCUUCAUAAGGGAGGUACUCCAUCCUCACAGCCUCCUCUGGACUCUGUCCAGCAGGUCCAUGUCCUUCUUAUGCUGUAAGCCUCAGAGCUAAACACAGUACUGGAGGCGGGCAUCUCAUGAGAUCAGGGCAAGAAGAGAACCAUCUCCCUCAACCUGCAAGCUACAGGUGAGGUAUUAGAAUGGGCUGGCCAGAGAGGUAGUGGAGUCACUGUCAAUGAGGUGCUGAAGGAAAGGGUAGAUGUGACACCGAGGAACUUGGUUUAGUGGGUAUGGUGAUGAUGGGCUGGCCCAGGGAGGUGGUGGAGUCACCAUCCCUGGAGAAGAUCAAGAAGUGUUUAGAUGUUGUACAGAGGGACAUGGUUUAGUAGGAAAUAUUGGUGAUAGAUGGACAAUUGGACCAGAUGACCUCAGAGGUCUUAUCCAACCUUGGUGAUUCUAUGAUUCUAUAAGGUUGGUCUAGAUGACAGCAGUAGUCUUAUCCAAUCAUAAUGAUACUAUGAUUCUAUUAUUCUAUACCUCUUUCGAUGCAGCUCAACUGCAUCAACUGUACAAUUGGCUUUCUAGGCUGAAAAUUAUGAGGCUGAUAUGACUUACUUCUUGAUGCAGUUGGGCUGCACUAAUGCAGCUCUAUGCAGUAAUCAUCGUGAGUAGGUGUUAGAGGUGGGAAGAUUGUGCUUCAUAGUUUUAACUCCAAGCUCCUCUUUCCAGUGAGAUGCCACUGACUCACAACAUUUUACUCAUCAUAGAGUUGAGAACGUAAGCUGUGAUCUGUUGUCUCCCACCAAGGUCAGGCAUUGGGAUCAGCAGAUUGGAAGUAUUUAUUUUUUUUUUUUUUGUCAUUGAUGCAGGAAUCCCAGAGUUUAGCUGAGUUUUUCAGGUGGGAAAUAUGUGGGAGCACACUGGAUAGUAUCUGUAUUGUAGAAGAUUGUCCUUGCUCCAGCAGGCAGAGAGGAACAGGCCGCCUUCUGAUCUGGAAAGCAUCUUGUCUAGAGGAAGUUAAUGAUGAGUUCUUACCUUCACCUCUGAGCAAGCAAGCAUGUAGGUUACUGAACCAUGAAAACGAGGGAGUAGAAACAAAAGGAUAACACUGAGGCAAUACUGUAGGGCUGAUAUUCAUUAGUAAUAGUUCAAGCAAAGAAAAAGAAACCAUCCAAUAUUCAAAAGUACUUACAUAACAAGUUAUAUAAAUGCUAAUAGAAGGAAUAAACCCUAACAGAGAGGAAAGAUGGCAACCCAGAAAUAUCAAAAAUCCUCCCUUUUCAAAGAGCAGUAUACUGACAACCAGUUGGUCAGCACAGACUCAUUGUGUGCCCAGUGGUGGGAUGUGAGUUUGUUAACAGUCAGGCUGACAAUUACUAGUUCCAGACCAUUAAAAUAUAUAAGCAAAUAAAUAAGAUGAUUUAGUACCCACAAGCUUUAUGCCUGAUCUUACUCUAGAGCUGAUAGAUGAUGACAGAAUAAGUAUAAUUUCAGACAGUGAUGGUGUGUUUUCUAUUCUGACAGUGACUCAAAGAAAUUUUUAAAAGUAUCCAUAGAAGUUGGAUAUUUUUAAAUCAGCAGGUUUGGAUAGCUUGCAUCAGGGAGUUUAAACAUGCUGUUUGAGUAGCUCUCUGGAGCCUUAAAACUGAUUUUCAAUAAAACUGAAAGGAAGCCAAAUCUGUAAGAAAAUCUGGGGGAAAAAAAAAAAAAAAAGUAAAGCAAGCAAUCUGGUGGGUCUUUCAUCUCCAAAGAGUGGAGAAAGAAAGCAAGUGUGGGUAAUACAAAUAUUCCUUAUUACAAAAGUUUCAAUAACAAUAGGUAAUGCUAGUUAACUGAUACAUUCCAUCACUGAGACCAUAAACUUUCUUGAAGAAGUUGAACGAAGCACUGAGCCUUCUCCAAUAUUUCAGACCACAUUUCCAUUAGAAAUUAAAAUAUUACAAAGUAAAUAAAAUGCACAUUAAUUGGGUGCAUUUCAAGCCUGAAUUGAAAACUGUGUGCAAUAAUCUCUAAACACAAUCAACAAAUGAUAAAAGGAGUGAAAGGAGGCAAAAAGCCCUCAGGAAGUCAAAUGUUAGUCUUGUCUACUGUGGCUGAAGAGGGCUUAAGGUGAAGAUAGAUUUGAGCUUUAUAGUUUUUCCUUUCACUAAAAGGACCUGAAGUACUAAAAGCCAAGAGU